UUCCACUAGUUUGUCCACCGGUGAAAAGGAGAAGCCAGCCAAGAACCAGCAGCUUCUGGCUACCUUGAUCAGAAGGUUGAUGAAGGCAAUGAAACAGAGAUGGAAAAACACAUCACACAGGCCCUUACCAGAUGCCAGCAUCUUGAUAUUGGACUUCCUAGCCUUCAGAACUCAAUUAUAAAGAUAUGCUAAUGCUUUGCACCAAGUGGCAGCUACAUGCUUGAGACCAACACUGAAAAUCAGUCAUGGAAUCACUGCAUAUCUGAACAAUCUCAUGGCAUAUCUCAUGUGCGCCAUGAGAGGAGGCACAGGUGGGUCAACUGACUUGAGCAGAGCCACCCAGCAAAUUCAGUGUUGGAGUGUGGUCCUUUGCCUGAGAAUCUCUACAAAGAGGAGCAUCUGAUGAGGAAAUGAGAACUCCAGCCAGAAACCAGCAAUAAAUUGAGGGCUCCUAUGAGCAAUGCAUUCUCCAGCCCCAAUCAAGCCUUUGGAUAACUGCAGCUCCUGCCAGCAUUUUGAUUGCACUUCAUGAAAGACUUUGAGUCAGAGCCACCUACCUAAGCCACUCCAAAAUUCCUGACCGUCAAAAACUUUGAGAUAAUAAAUGUUUGUCGUUUUAAACUAC
rnacentral:lncRNA from 1 species